rfam:Felis catus isolate Cinnamon breed Abyssinian chromosome A1, whole genome shotgun sequence.
ACCUGGGUGGUUCAGUCAGUUAAGCACCUGACUUCGACUCAGGUUAUGAUCUCAUAAUUCGUGAGUUCAAGCCCCACCUCAGGCU